CUCCGGGUGAUCCUGCCGGACCCGACUGCUAUCGGAUUGAGAUUUAGCCAUGCGAGUCGAACGUCCCCCUGUUGCGGGGGGCGUGGCGUACGGCUCAGUAACACGUAGUCAACCUGCCCUGGAGACAAGGACAACCCCGGGAAACUGGGAUUAAUCCUUGAUAGGUCAUCUCAUCUGGAAGGAGAGAUGGCUUAAAGGGGUACGCGGGCUUCUUCCGCGAAUCCGCUCCAGGAUGGGACUGCGUCCGAUCAGGCUGUUGGCGGGGUAAUGGCCCACCAAACCUGUAACCGGUACGGGCCUUGAGAGAGGUGGCCCGGAGAUGGACACUGAGAGAAGGGUCCAGGUCCUACGGGGCGCAGCAGGCGCGAAACCUUCGCAAUGCGCGAAAGCGUGACGAGGUUAAUCCGAGUGACUCCCGCUGAGGGGGUCUUUUGUCAGCUGUAAAUAGGCAGGCGAAUAAGGGGAGGGCAAGCCUGGUGUCAGCCGCCGCGGUAAUACCAGCUCCUCGAGUGGUCGGGGCGAUUAUUGGGCCUAAAGCAUCCGUAGCCGGUUCCGUAGGUCCUCUGUUAAAUCCAACCGCUUAACGGUUGACCUGCAGAGGAUACCGCGGGACUAGGAGGCGGGAGAGGCGGACGGUACUCCGCGUGUAGGGGUAAAAUCCACUGAUCCAUAGAGGACCACCAGUGGCGAAGGCGGUCUACCAGAACGCGUUCGACGGUGAGGGAUGAAAGCUGGGGGAGCAAACCGGAUUAGAUACCCGGGUAGUCCCAGCUGUAAACGAUGCAAACUCGGUGAUGCAUUGGCUUAUGGCCAAUGCAGUGCCGCAGGGAAGCCGUUAAGUUUGCCGCCUGGGAAGUACGGACGCAAGUCUGAAACUUAAAGGAUUGGCGGGGGAGCA
rnacentral:rRNA from 1 species